UACGAGAGGCGCAAACGUUAUUCGGAUUUACUGGGCGUAAAGAGCGUGUAGGCGGCCAAGCAGGUCCGUUGUGAAAACUGGAGGCUUAACCUCCAGACGUCGACGGAAACCGCGUGGCUAGAGUCCGGAAGAGGAGAGUGGAAUUCCUGGUGUAGCGGUGAAAUGCGCAGAUAUCAGGAAGAACACCAAUGGCGAAGGCAGCUCUCUGGGACGGUACUGACGCUGAGACGCGAAAGCGUGGGGAGCGAACAGG
rnacentral:rRNA from 1 species